rfam:Alligator mississippiensis ScZkoYb_317, whole genome shotgun sequence.
GGCUCCAUGGUGUAAUGGUUAGCACUCUGGACUCUGAAUCCAGCAAUCUGAGUUCAACUCUCGGUGGAACCU